UAUCUCUGUAGAGUCUGCAUAUCAAUAAGCGGAGGAAAAGAAACUAACAAGGAUUCCCCUAGUAACGGCGAGUGAAGCGGGAAGAGCUCAAAUUUGAAAUCUUCAAGGUUUGACCUUGACGAAUUGUAGUUUAAAGAAGUGUUUUCGGUUAGAGGAGUAGUAAAAGUUCUUUGGAAUAGGACAUCAUAGAGGGUGAGAAUCCCGUAUUUGACUAUUCUUUCUAGCUUUGUGAUACACUUUCAAAGAGUCGGAUUGUUUGGGAAUGCAGUCCAAAAUGGGUGGUAAAUUUCAUCUAAAGCUAAAUAUUGGCGAGAGACCGAUAGCGAACAAGUACCGUGAGGGAAAGAUGAAAAGAACUUUGAAAAGAGAGUUAAACAGUACGUGAAAUUGUCAAAAGGGAAGCGUUUGACACCAGUGUUGUUUUUCUGAAAAUCAAUUAAAAAUUGACUUCAUGCCAGGUUGUAUUGACCUUAUCAGCUUGCAAUUUGGUUUUGGGUCUCUUUUUGAUGCACUUUUCGGUUAACAAGUCAACAUCAAUUUCCUUUGCUGUAAAAAGGUAAGAGGAAGGUGGCUUCAAUUUCGGUUGAAGUGUUUAUAGCCUUUUAUCUCUGCAGUCGGGGAGAUUGAGGUCUGCAGCGUAGAUCCUUCGGGGCUAGAUACAUUUAUGCUAAGUUAUAGCUUUUCAUAGACAACUUGUUGACUAUGUUUAGUCAUGUAGCUUACUCGUAAGUGCUAUUUUACCUACGCUUAGGAUGUUGA
rnacentral:rRNA from 1 species